UUUUCUUCUCAAUUGUUUUAUAUUAUUCUAAGAUAUUAAUGUACUAGAUUAAAUCUUAUAAAAUUUAAACUAGAUUGCAUAUAUAAAAUCUAAAACAAUUCACAAAAAUAAAAAUAAAAAUAAAAAGUUCAAUAUUAUCAGAGUUCUAUAGACAUUGGAUGGGGUAAUAGAUCGUAACAUGAAGGAGGCUGCAUCGAUCGAUAUUGAAUUGCCGCUAGGGAUCGAUGAUGACAACGAGAGCCCAUGCCCAAUCUCAUUUCCAACCUAUAAGUGAGGUUUUGUCUGUCGAAUGUCUUGUAUGAAAAUAAGAAUUGAUGUCGUUUUAUUUAGAAGAGACCCGUGAUCUAUAAUCCCGUCUGUGAGAUCUGCACCUCUGAUAGACUUGUGUCCGCACCUCGUUCAACUUUACUAUAUUUAUGAAUUCCCUCCAAGUUGGGAUUUUGGUUAGAAAAAAAUGAUGACCAACCUGCCAACGUGUAAGUAGGGUUAAAAAUGGAGUAGAUUGGGCCAUGUCGAAGGCCCCAUUAACAAUUGUCCUGGUCAGGUGGUGUAGUGGGCUUGCUGGGCACCCACAAUAUUUAUUGGGCCAUUAUCUUGGCUUCUUCCAGCUAUUUGGGUGAUUAAUUAAAUUCGUAACAAUUAAUAUUUGCUGACGAAACUACGUGUUUUCUGCGUAGAAUUUGCUGACAAAACUAUAAAUGUGAAGAGAAUUAUUUGCGCUUGUUGUCGCUUUGUUUGCAUGGGAAUGGAUAUGGCCCCUUCAACGAAUCCAAUGAACAUAGUCAGCCCAUAUUUCCUUCAAACAAAAAAACAGUAGAAAAUACUUAUUAAACUGUUGAAAUAUAAAUAUAUAUCUCUUCAUCAAUCAUUCCUUUAAACAAUAUUUUUCUUGUAUAUGUUUCUUAUUGUUAAGGUUGUAUAGCAACGUAAGUAUGAGGUAUACUAAAAUUUUCGUUUCAAUUUUUUUGGUAACGUAAAUACAUCGUUAUCGUCCAUUUUCAAUUUGCGAUCUUGACGGUUCACAAUUAUUUAAAUAUUAAAUUUUUAUUUUAUAUUUUAUUUUUAAUCUUAUAUAUUUUCUCAAUUUGACAAAAAAUCUUACUUUCUCAAUUUGACAAAGGAGUUUUAGCAAGCUAAAACAGCAGCUCAGAGAGCAAGAGAGGGAGACGCUUAUUUGAAAUCACAUGAAAUUUUGGAUCAAUUACAAUCCAAUUUCAGAUUGAAAAUUGAAAUCAAAAAUAAAAUGUGAAAUAAAAAUUUAAUAUUUGAAUAAUUAUAACCCGUUGAGAUCGCACACCGAAAAUGACCGUUGAUAAUAAAUUUACAUUACCAAAAAAAAUUAUACACACUCAAAUUUUUGAUAUAUCAGAUACGGAAGAAUUUACCUAAAUAAGGAAAAGGAGAUUAGAAGGUGAUUAGCGGUGAGGAGGGCUGCUGCUGGAUUUGGCCUUGGCGAGCGUAAUGAUGGUUUAGUGUGAUGGGGGGGAAGGUGGUGGGCCCACUAGCAGCUCUUCAUAAAACUUUUUAAUUUUAUUUUUACUUUUGGGCUUUUUAUAAAAUUGUAUGGGCUCUCCGCGGUUUCCUUUCUUAAACCAUUUUGCCUUUUGGCGCUUUGAAAAUGUUUGGGGGUAGUCUUUGGUUAAGUAAGUAAUCAUUACGAGCCAUUUGAUUCAAUGAUUACCAGCGAGGAAUCUCUGAGCUCCACGCCUCCAUCAUGCAACAGCAUAACUCCCCAGAUAAAAUUAAGUAAGGUACUAAAAUUUGGGAACGUACGGUUGGUUAGAUGUUACCUCAUAUUAAUUAAUUUGGUACUAUAGUCUUAUAUGUAGGGCUAAUGAUGGGAUAGCGUGUAGAAGCACUGCAGUGAGAAUACUACUGAAGGACGUAUCUCUACCCAUCAUUAAUUCUGUAGACUAAUAAUAUUGCAUGCAUGUUGAAGAGGCCGGGGGGUGGAAGUUGUGUUUGUAAAUCAGUGCAGUCACCUGAUCUGUUGAAGUGGUUUUUGUGUAACGUAUAUACAUCCAAAAGUCUCUAUCGGUUACCAAACUUGUUGUUAGUUUCUGCACUGAGAUUGAGAGCUCUCUGCACAAGAAAACAACAAAGCAACGGGUGUUGGAAAUGGGCAUAUGUGGAUGGACAAAUUAAUGUGAAAGGAAGAAUAUUGUAGAUAAGAAGAAGAUGGAGUGGUUGUCAGUGCGGUUAGUGACAAAUGUAGCACUGCAGAAGGGCUCCUUUCUGGAUCGAUCGGUUACGUUGCACCAGUACUUCACAUUUCCCCACUAAGAAGCCAGCAUUUCUUGAUCACUUUCACACGGCAAUCAACCAAAAUCCCAAAAUGAUACGAUGGAUGGUUAUCCCACAGCUGGCGGGUCUGACUAGCUUCUUGGAAACCAUCUCUUCGUCACUACGUACUCUAGCUAGCCUCGGAUCAUUACCCUGUUUACAAAUAUGUUUGUUUGUUUGUAAACAACACUGUUCAUCCCUAAUGAUGAACAAACGAUAUUUACAUGAAAUGGAAGGUGUUAGGAAAAUACUGUGAAUUACAAAAAAGUUUAGUGAUGUUUGUUCAUUUAUUAGUGAUGCUCAUUCUUGGCAUAUGUAGCACUAAAUGGGCAUGAAAGAAAAUAAAUCGUUUCAACUAUUAAGCAAC
rnacentral:lncRNA from 1 species